AUAUUAUUUCAAUUUUCUUUAACAAUACUAUUACACUAUAAUUAAAAUUAUUUUUUCUUUAUUAAAUACUAAAACAAAUUCAUCCAAUAAUUAUUUUUAAUAAUUUAAAAAAAAAAAUUUUUUUUUUAAUAAAUAAAAUUUAAUCAAUUUAUAUUGAUUUGCACAAAAAUCUUUUCAAUGUAAAUGAAAUACUUUACUUAAUAAGCUUUAAAUUGCAUUCUAGAUACACUUUCCAGUACAUCUACUAUGUUACGACUUAUCUUACCUUAAUAAUAAGAGUGACGGGCGAUGUGUACAUAUUUUAGAGCUAAAAUCAAAUUAUUUAUCUUUAUAAUUUUACUAUCAAAUCCACUUUCAAUAAAUGUUUCAUAUUUAUAUUCAUUUAAAUAAAUUUAUUGUAACCCAUUUCUACUUAAAUAUAAGCUACACCUUGAUCUGAUAUACUUUCUUUUUUAAAAUUAUGAAAAUUAUCAUUCUUAUAAAAUAUUCUAAUAACGACGGUAUAUAAACUGAUUACAAAUUUAAGUUAGGUCCAUCGUGGAUUAUCGAUUAAAGAACAGGUUCCUCUGAAUAGACUAAAAUACCGCCAAAUUUUUUAAGUUUCAAGAACAUAACUA
rnacentral:rRNA from 1 species